rnacentral:rRNA from 1 species
AGCAGCCGCGGUAAUUCCAGCUCCAAUAGCGUAUAUUAAAGUUGUUGCAGUUAAAAAGCUCGUAGUUGAAUUUCGGGAUCAGCAGGUUGGUCGUGCCUCUGGUACGCACUGGUUUCGCUGAUUCCUCCUUUCUGAAGAACUGUAAUGUCAUUAAUUUGGUGUUGCAGGGAAACAGGACUGUUACUUUGAAAAAAUUAGAGUGUUUAAAGCAGGCUAACGCUUGAAUACAUUAGCAUGGAAUAAUGAAAUAGGACGUUUGAUCCUAUUUUGUUGGUUUCUAGGAUUGACGUAAUGAUUAAUAGGGAUAGUUGGGGGCAUUAGUAUUCAAUUGUCAGAGGUGAAAUUCUUGGAUUUAUUGAAGACUAACUACUGCGAAAGCAUUUGCCAAGGAUGUUUUCAUUAAUCAAGAACGAAAGUUAGGGGAUCGAAGACGAUCAGAUACCGUCGUAGUCUUAACCAUAAACUAUGCCGACUAGGGAUCGGAUGAUGUUAAUUUUUUAAUGACUCA